GACGAACGCUGGCGGCGUGCUUAACACAUGCAAGUCGAACGGAAAGGCCCUGCUUUUGUGGGGUGCUCGAGUGGCGAACGGGUGAGUAACACGUGAGUAACCUGCCCUUGACUUUGGGAUAACUUCAGGAAACUGGGGCUAAUACCGGAUAGGAGCUCCUGCUGCAUGGUGGGGGUUGGAAAGUUUCGGCGGUUGGGGAUGGACUCGCGGCUUAUCAGCUUGUUGGUGGGGUAGUGGCUUACCAAGGCUUUGACGGGUAGCCGGCCUGAGAGGGUGACCGGCCAAAUUGGGACUGAGAUACGGCCCAGACCCCUACGGGGGGCAAGAGGGGGGAAUAUUGCAAAAUGGGGGGAAGCCUGAUGGAGCAACGCCGGGGGGGGGAUGACGGCCUUCGGGGUGUAAACCGCUUUCGCCUGGGACGAAGCGGGAGUGACGGUAAUGGGUAAAGAAGCACCGGCUAACUACGU
rnacentral:rRNA from 1 species